rnacentral:rRNA from 18 species
GAGCGACAGGGCAUCGAUAAUAAUCGGGCAUCAAGUGUAGUACCGAAGCUUAGGGAUCAUCUUAUGAUGAUCGGUAGGGGAGCAUUCUCUAUGCGGCGAAGUUGUGCUGUGAGGCAUGGUGGAGCGUAGAGAAGCGCAAAUGUAGGCAUAAGUAACGAUAAGGCGGGCGAGAAACCCGCCCACCGAUAGACUAAGGUUUCCCCGGCAAUGCUAAUCAGCCGGGGGUUAGUCAGGACCUAAGGCGAACCCGAAGGGGGUAGUCGAUGGACAAUGAGUUAAUAUUCUCAUACCACCUUUAUUUUCGAAGGAGUGACGGAGUAGUGAAAGUACCGCGUACUGACGGAAUAGUACGUUAAAGCGAGUAGGUAUAGGGCUGGUAGGCAAAUCCGCCGGCCUUGCUGAACGUGAUAGUACCACAAUCCUACGGGAGCGUGGAUAGUGUACCUAAUCAGACUUCCAAGAAAAACUUCUAAGGCUAGGAUAAAGGUGCCUGUACCGCAAACCGACACAGGUAGUCAAGGAGAGAAUCCUGAGGUGCUCGAGUGAAUCAUGGCUAAGGAACUAGGCAAAAUUGCCCUGUAACUUCGGGAGAAGGGGCCCCC